UGGGGCGUAGCCAAGUGGUAAGGCGGCGGGUUUUGGUCCCGUGAUACGGAGGUUCGAAUCCUCCCGCCCCAGCCA
rnacentral:tRNA from 2 species